CAAGUCCUUUCGCUUUCGGAGUGGCCGAUAUCGGAUUAGCUAGUAGGUGAGGUAAAGGCUCACCUAGGCGACGAU
rnacentral:rRNA from 1 species